rnacentral:rRNA from 1 species
GAUGAACGCUGGCGGCGUGCCUAAUACAUGCAAGUCGAGCGAACGGACGAGAAGCUUGCUUCUCUGAUGUUAGCGGCGGAAGGGUGAGUAACACUUGGAUAACCUACCUAUAAGACUGGGAUAACUUCGGGAAACCGGAGCUAAUACCGGAUAAUAUUUUGAACCGCAUGGUUCAAAAGUGAAAGACGGUCUUGCUGUCACUUAUAGGUGGAUCCGCGCUGCAUUAGCUAGUUGGUAAGGUAACGGCUUACCAAGGCAACGAUGCAUAGCCGACCUGAGAGGCUGAUCGGCCACACUGGAACUGAGACGCGGUCCGGACUCCUACGGGAGGCAGCAGUAGGGAAUCUUCCGCGAUGGGCGAAGGCGUGACGGAGCAACGCCGCGUGAGUGAUGAAGGUCGUCGGAUCGUAAAACUCUGGUAUUAGGGAAGAACAUAUGUGUAAGUAACUGUGCACAUCGUGACGGUACCUAAGCAGAAAGCCACGGCUAACUACGUG